AGAGUUUGAUCCUGGCUCAGGAUGAACGCUAGCGGCAGGCCUAACACAUGCAAGUCGAGGGGCAGCAUAUCGCUUCGGUGAUGAUGGCGACCGGCGCACGGGUGAGUAUCGCGUUUGUAACCUACCCUUAACUGGGGGAUAGCCCGAAGAAAUUCGGAUUAAUACCCCAUAAUAUUUAAGCACGGCAUCGUGCUUUCAUUAAAGCUCCGGCGGUUAUGGAUGGGCAUACGUGACAUUAGUUUGUUGGUAAGGUAACGGCUUACCAAGACUACGAUGUCUAGGGGGUCUGAGAGGAUGAUCCCCCACACUGGUACUGAGACACGGACCAGACUCCUACGGGAGGCAGCAGUGAGGAAUAUUGGUCAAUGGACGAAAGUCUGAACCAGCCAUGCCGCGUGCAGGAUGACGGCUCUAUGAGUUGUAAACUGCUUUUAUAUAGGAAGAAAUCCUUCUACGUGUAGAAGGUUGACGGUACUAUAAGAAUAAGCAUCGGCUAACUCCGUGCCAGCAGCCGCGGUAAUACGGAGGAUGCAAGCGUUAUCCGGAUUCAUUGGGUUUAAAGGGUGCGUAGGCGGGGCAAUCAGUCAGUGGUGAAAUCCUGCGGCUUAACCGUAGAACUGCCAUUGAUACUGUUGCUCUUGAGUAUAGUUGAAGUGGGCGGAAUAUGUAAUGUAGCGGUGAAAUGCAUAGAGAUUACAUAGAACACCAAUUGCGAAGGCAGCUCACUAAGCUAUCACUGACGCUGAGGCACGAAAGCGUGGGGAGCGAACAGGAUUAGAUACCCUGGUAGUCCACGCCGUAAACGAUGAUAACUCGUUGUUGGCAAUACAUCGUCAGCGACUGAGCGAAAGCAUUAAGUUAUCCACCUGGGGAGUACGAUCGCAAGAUUGAAACUCAAAGGAAUUGACGGGGGCCCGCACAAGCGGAGGAACAUGUGGUUUAAUUCGAUGAUACGCGAAGAACCUUACCAGGGUAUGACAUGUGAGCUUCGACCUUCGGGGAGAGGUUAAUCCUGUGAAAGCAGGACGAAUCACACAGGUGUUGCAUGGCUGUCGUCAGCUCGUGUCGUGAGAUGUUGGGUUAAGUCCCGCAACGAGCGCAACCCUUGCUGUUAGUUACCAUCGGGUAAUGCCGGGGACUCUAGCAGGACUGCCGGUGAUAAACCGGAGGAAGGUGGGGAUGAUGUCAAGUCAUUAUGACCCUUUACACCCUGGGCUAACCACGUGCUACAAUGGUCGGUACAAAGGGGAGCAAUACCGCGAGGUGGAGCAAAUCCCAUAAAGCCGGCCUCAGUACGGAUUGCAGUCUGCAACUCGACUGCAUGAAGCUGGAAUCGCUAGUAAUCGUGGAUCAGCAUGCCACGGUGAAUACGUUCCCGGGCCUUGUACACACCGCCCGUCAAGCCAUGGAAGUUGGUAGCACUCGAAGUCGUCGACCCAACCUCGUGAGGGAGACGCCGAAAGUGAGACUGAUGACUGGGGCUAAGUCGUAACAAGGUA
rnacentral:rRNA from 1 species